rnacentral:rRNA from 1 species
UGAGGAAUAUUGGUCAAUGGACGGAAGUCUGAACUAGCCAAGUAGCGUGCAGGAUGACGGCCCUAUGGGUUGUAAACUGCUUUUGUAUGGGGAUAAAGUUAGGGACGUGUCCCUAUUUGCAGGUACCAUACGAAUAAGGACCGGCUAAUUCCGUGCCAGCAGCCGCGGUAAUACGGAAGGUCCAGGCGUUAUCCGGAUUUAUUGGGUUUAAAGGGAGCGUAGGCUGGAGAUUAAGUGUGUUGUGAAAUGUAGACGCUCAACGUCUGAAUUGCAGCGCAUACUGGUUUCCUUGAGUACGCACAACGUUGGCGGAAUUCGUCGUGUAGCGGUGAAAUGCUUAGAUAUGACGAAGAACUCCGAUUGCGAAGGCAGCUGACGGGAGCGCAACUGACGCUUAAGCUCGAAGGUGCGGGUAUCAAACAGGAUUAGAUACCCUGGUAGUCCGCACAGUAAACGAUGGAUGCCCGCUGUUGGUACCUGGUAUCAGCGGCUAAGCGAAAGCAUUAAGCAUCCCACCUGGGGAGUACGCCGGCAACGGUG